rnacentral:rRNA from 1 species
UGCCGGACCUGACUGCUAUCGGAUUGGUACUAAGCCAUGCGAGUCAUUGUAGCAAUACAAGGCGGACGGCUCAGUAACACGUAGUCAACCUAACUCGUGGACGUGGAUAACCUCGGGAAACUGAGAAUAAACCACGAUAGAUCAUAGUGCCUGGAAUGGCUUAUGGUCCAAACAGUUUACUGCCAUGGGAUGGGACUGCGGCCUAUCAGCUUGUUGGUGAGGUAAUGGCCCACCAAGGCGAUUACAGGUACGGGCUCUGAGAGGAGAAGCCCGGAGAUGGGUACUGAGACACGGACCCAGGCCCUAUGGGGCGCAGCAGGCGAGAAACCUUAGCAAUGUGCGAAAGCACGACUGGGUCAGUCCGAGUGAUUCCUGAUAAAGGAGUCUUUUGCCUGUCCUAAAAGCACAGGUGAAUAAGGGGUGGGCAAGUCUGGUGUCAGCCGCCGCGGUAAUACCAGCACCUCGAGUGGUCAGGACGUUUAUUGGGCCUAAAGCAUCCGUAGCCGGCUCUGCAAGUCUUCGGUUAAAUCCACCUGCUCAACAGAUGGGCCGCUGGAGAUACUACAGAGCUAGGGAGUGGGAGAGGCAGACGGUAUUCAGUGGGUAGGGGUAAAAUCCUCUGAUCCAUUGAGGACCACCAGUGGCGAAGGCGGUCUGCCAGAACACGUUCGACGGUGAGGGAUGAAAGCUGGGGGAGCAAACCGGAUUAGAUACCCGGGUAGUCCCAGCUGUAAACGAUGCAAACUCGGUGAUGCAUUGGCUUAUGGCCAAUGCAGUGCCGCAGGGAAGCCGUUAAGUUUGCCGCCUGGGAAGUACGGACGCAAGUCUGAAACUUAAAGGAAUUGGCGGG